rnacentral:rRNA from 1 species
AAGGCACUUUCCCCAGUGGGCCUAAAAGCAGCCACCUGUAAAGAUAGCGUUAAAGCUCAAGCAUACUUUAACCAAGAAUGUAAAAUAACUAAACCACACCCCCCAAAAAAUACUGAGCCCCCCCAUGAAUAUAUGGAGAAGAUAAUGCUAGAACUAGUAAUAAGAGGGGCCACGCCCCUCUCCCCGCACGAUUGUGAGUCAGACAGGACCAACCACUGAUAACUAACGGACCUAAUAGAAGGCAAAGCAAAGGAAAAAGAACAUACAAGAAUACCAUGCCAGAAUAACCGUCAUCCCAACACAGGAGUGCGCCUGGGAAAGACUAAAAGGAAGAGAAGGAACUCGGCAAAACAAAGUCCCGCCUGUUUACCAAAAACAUCGCCUCUUGCUAACAAUGAAGUAUUAGAGGUCCCGCCUGCCCUGUGACAGCAGUGUUUAACGGCCGCGGUAUUCUAACCGCGCGAAGGUAGCGUAAUCACUUGUCUUUUAAAUGGAGACCUGUAUGAAUGGCAUAACGAGGACUUAACUGUCUCCUUUUCCUGGUCAAUGAAACUGAUCUGCCCGUGCAGAAGCGGGCAUGUUAACAUAAGACGAGAAGACCCUAUGGAGCUUUAGGCAAAUGAUCAUGUACACCAAACCCUGUCUUCAAUCAAAGCCUGGGAAAAUAAACGCUAAUGAUCAACAUGCCUUCGGUUGGGGCGACCGUGGAGGAGAGAAAAGCCUCCAUGUAGAACGGGAGAACCCUUAAACUAAGACAAACAAGUCUAGGUAUCAGAAAUUCUGACUAAAUAUGACCCAGGCC